GUGGGGAAUAUUGGACAAUGGGGGGAACCCUGAUCCAGCCAUGCCGCGUGUGUGAAGAAGGCCUUUUGGUUGUAAAGCACUUUAAGCGAGGAGGAGGCUACCGAGAUUAAUACUCUUGGAUAGUGGACGUUACUCGCAGAAUAAGCACCGGCUAACUCUGUGCCAGCAGCCGCGGUAAUACAGAGGGUGCAAGCGUUAAUCGGAUUUACUGGGCGUAAAGCGCGCGUAGGUGGCCAAUUAAGUCAAAUGUGAAAUCCCCGAGCGUAACUGGGGAAUUGCAUUCGAUACUGGUUGGCUAGAGUAUGGGAGAGGAUGGUAGAAUUCCAGGUGUAGCGGUGAAAUGCGUAGAGAUCUGGAGGAAUACCGAUGGCGAAGGCAGCCAUCUGGCCUAAUACUGACACUGAGGUGCGAAAGCAUGGGGAGCAAACAGGAUUAGAAACCCCUGUAGUCC
rnacentral:rRNA from 1 species